AACAUGUCUUUUUGAUUAUAAUUUAAAGUCCAAUCUGCUCCAUGAUUAAUUUUAAAUAGCUGCAGAAUUUUAACUGUACAAAGGUAGCAUAAUCAAUAGUUUUUUAAUUAAAAGCUGGAAUGAAUGAUUUUAUAAGGUAAAUAUUGUCUCAAGUUUAAUAGGGUUAAAAUUUUAUAUUUAGUUAAAAUUCUAAAAUAAAUUUAAAAGACGAGAAGACCCUAUAGAUUUUUAUAUUAAUAUUUAAUUAUAUUUAAAUAAAUUAAUAAAUUUUAAUUAAUUAAUAUUUGAUUGGGGUAAUUAUUAAAUUUUAUAAAUUUUAAUUUAUUUAAGACAAUAAUUAUUGGUAAAAUGAACUUUAUUAAAAAUUAAUAGAUUAAAUUACCUUAGGGAUAACAGCGUAAUUUUUUUGGAGAGAUCUUAUUAAUAAAAAAGUUUGCGACCUCGAUGUUGAAUUAAGAUAAAAUUUUAAUGAAGAAGUUAAAAAUUUUUGGUCUGUUCGACCAUUAAAAUCUUACGUGA
rnacentral:rRNA from 1 species